rnacentral:lncRNA from 1 species
UUUUUUUUCAUGCAUAGGUCCCCCAGUGAACAAGGACAAGUUAAUAGAACACAUUCAGCUCCACGAGAUGGCAACCGUGACUCCCACAAUAACCAGGCCCAAGAGUGACAAAUAUACUCCAAAGAAUGUGAGCGCAUAAGGAAGCUCUAGCUACAUAUUUAAAAUUGUGCAGACCUACAUCGGAAAGAGAAAUGGGGAAGGAGACGACUGCCAGCAGCAGCCCUGACCAACCACUGGUUAACCACUCCUGGCUGCGAAGUGCAUCGUCCUUCCAAGUUUACUUCUCGCGUUUCCUCAUGGCACGACCGCAGCACUUCCAAAUAUGGCUGUUACAUGGCUAGCAUGUGGCUCCUUUUCUCUUUUUUUUAUACCCCACCCAUUUUCCUUUUGUUACUUUUUUUUCCCCCCUGUAAUAUGUACAUGUGAUACAGUCCCCCUGUGGGCACGGCCUCAUCGCUACCCUCUCUCGUGCUCCCUCUACGAGAUUAGGUGCGCAGUUGCCUCUGGUGAUGCAAAACUUGCAUAAAUGUCUGCUUGUCCCUCCGUGUGUGUCUGUUUGCGUGUGUGUGUGUCUGUGUGCGAGAACUGUGUAGUGACAGUGAAAAUGCAGGAAAGCAUCAAAGAUGCACUCUUUAAGUAUGGCUAGAGCACUCCUCGAGGGCUUUUCUUUCUCCGUGGGUAUGCCUGUUUUAAGGUUGUGCUGCUAUUGCUACCCUGUACAUUGCAGCCGAGCUUGCAGUGCUGAUGACUGCAUUGUUGUCGGGGAUGGCCAGCCUUCUGUGUGAUUGUUCAGCAAGCAUUGCUACUCUCGUCGCGCGUGCAAGCUCGUUGCGUUGCUUUGCUCGUCCUAACAGUUUUGCAUCACCGGCAGAGUGCGCUCUGCAGCGGGGAUUUUUCAAUGUGGUGUGAAUCGACAGCAGAGUCUUGCAGCAAGUAUCUCUGAGCGAAACACAUUGUGCAUGUGUAUACAUUUGCUGAAUCAAUCUUGACAUCACUUUAAUGAGAUGUGGCUGUCCAUUACUUUUUUUUUCCCCCUUUCUAUUCAUUGACAUUUUUACGCAUGGCAACAUUUUGGAGGUUUCUUAUACAGACUUUUUAAAUGAAUGUUUCAAAUCAAGAUUGCAAGUAAGGAGUGUUCUUUCACUAGAGCAAGAAAGUGCUGAUAUGAUAGUGCAGAGGGAACAGGGUUUAUAGCAUCAUCUACUCGCGUGCAACCACGCUGAAGCCUUGCUUAGUUAAUUGUUGCAAGGGGAGACUUACUCCGUGGUGUGCGGCGUGUUUCAAGCCAGCCUGCCCUGGCAGCACUGCGAUCUUUGUUCUCAUGCAGGAUCAGUAAAUUGGUUUUAAGUGAACACCAUUGUUAUCUUAUGUAGCUGUAUGCAAAGAAGCAUUGGAGGUCCACAGUUGUGCAUUGAUUGUCAAUGCCUUGUUCUUUUUCUGAGUCGGCACAACCUCCAUGCACCUUUAUUUUUUUUCUUCCCUUUUAUACAUUCCACAUUGGCUUUGCAUGUUUUCCUCGCGUGUGUGAAAUGCGAGGCUCGAUGACUUAAGUGCACACUUAUGUGUCAUGAGAUGGGCUGCGCAUCCGAAACUAUUGAUGUUGUUGAGGCUCAGCCAUUUUUCUUUUUUUUUUUUGGACUUGAGUAUGUGUGUCAUGUUUGAUGGAAGAGAUUUCAGCCCCCCAAAUUCAGGAACCUGCUCAAUUCUCUGCUCUUGUUUUUCUCUGCUAAGUGUGAUAACAAGCCCCUUUUUGACUAGGCUUGCUCACUGGUCUUGAAUAACACUCCUAGGUGGACCUCAGCAUUCUUUGAAAACCUCGGUGUGCUCCCUGAAAUCUUUAGCGAAGAGUUGCUUGGAUGACGUCUUUUCCACUCCAGCACUCCCGAGUAGAUACUGGAACUGGUUGGUUGCGAAAUUUCAGUUGCACAGUUUCCGAGGUGCAUUACCAAAAUGCGGUGACCACAUAAACCAAGAGGUGGCGCUGGCCUCCAUUCGGUAGAGUCUAGCGGGGAGCUUGGAGUUGAGGUGCGCUCGUGAGUGUUCGGGGGUCGAGUGUCUGAAGUGAGUUUGCAACACAAUGGUGCUCUGUCCUAGCCUAUACCUUUUACUUGGAUUUGCACUAUUUCUCUUUUCCUUUCCCACUAGCAAAAAGGCGGUGCCUCAUCGGCCGCUUUCUUACUUUUCUCGUAUGAACAAAAAAACUGAACGUUCCACGAUGACCAGACCCACAGAUGUGUGUAUUGUCUGAGCAUUGUCGUCUGCCGAGUGGUGUUGUCUGCAGUGUGUGAAGCAAUUCUAGUCUUUCUUCCUCUUCUUUUUUUUUAAUUGCUAAGGGGUGUGAAAAAUGAAGCAGUUGCAUCUUAUUUAUUUUUAAAUUGUAGUAGGGAAUUUAACAGAAAUUGGCACAUCCUUCCCGUAAGCGUGCAGAUUUAUGCAUCAAGCGUGUCUGGCUUUCCAUCAGUCCAUGGUGCUUGAAAUGUGGUGUUUCACCUACAGUUUAUGUGGAGAGAUGCUGACUCUUCUUCUUUCCCGUGCCUUUUGGUGGUUGCAGAAGGGAAGUUGUUUCACUCAUAUUUAUAAAACCAAGUUUCCGAACCCUUUGUUUUAUUAACAGUGCUCACCAGCUGAAGUAGUGAAGGUUCACAUGGCCCCUGUUCUUACUGUCUUAAUGCUUCACAAUUUUUUUUUUUUUUUUUCGAAGUUCUUGUUAAUAUUGUGGGCAUUAAGGCUUUGUCUUCUCUUUUAAUGUGGCUGCCUUCCACGAAACUCAGUCUGUGGCAAACAUGCAUUUCUGUAGAAAUGAGAGAGAACAAUGGAAAAAAUAAAGAGGCAGCAGUUUGAUCUUGUGAUCCUAUUGAACAUUCAUGUGAAUGUGUGAUAGUGUGUUGUUACCACUAGGAAGGAUUAGUACACAUGUUGUGUGUGGAGACAUGGAACAUUCACAGCCACAUCACUGCUCUGGAACAACAAGUUGUACAGUAAGACCAAUAAAAAUUAAAUGUGUUGUCUUGUGGUA